rnacentral:rRNA from 1 species
GAUGAACGCUGGCGGCGUGCCUAAUACAUGCAAGUCGAUCGAACGGACGAGAAGCUUGCUUUUCUGAUGUUAGCGGCGGACGGGUGAGUAACACGUGGAUAACCUACCUAUAAGACUGGGAUAACUUCGGGAAACCGGAGCUAAUACCGGAUAAUAUUUUGAACCGCAUGGUUCAAAAGUGAAAGACGGUCUUGCUGUCACUUAUAGAUGGAUCCGCGCUGCAUUAGCUAGUUGGUAAGGUAACGGCUUACCAAGGCAACGAUGCAUAGCCGACCUGAGAGGGUGAUCGGCCACACUGGAACUGAGACACGGUCCAGACUCCUACGGGAGGCAGCAGUAGGGAAUCUUCCGCAAUGGGCGAAAGCCUGACGGAGCAACGCCGCGUGAGUGAUGAAGGUCUUCGGAUCGUAAAACUCUGUUAUUAGGGAAGAACAUAUGUGUAAGUAACUGUGCACAUCUUGACGGUACCUAAUCAGAAGGCCACGGCUAACUACGUG